rnacentral:rRNA from 1 species
AGAGUUUGAUCCUGGCUCAGGACGAACGCUGGCGGCGUGCUUAACACAUGCAAGUCGAACGGAAAGGCCCUGCUUACAGGGUGCUCGAGUGGCGAACGGGUGAGUAACACGUGGGUGAUCUGCCCCUUACUUUGGGAUAAGCCUGGGAAACUGGGUCUAAUACUGGAUAGGACCAUGCUGUAGGUGGUGUGGUGGAAAGAUUAGUUUCGGUAAGGGAUGAGCUCGCGGCCUAUCAGCUUGUUGGUGGGGUAAUGGCCUACCAAGGCGUCGACGGGUAGCCGGCCUGAGAGGGUGGACGGCCACAUUGGGACUGAGAUACGGCCCAGACUCCUACGGGAGGCAGCAGUGGGGAAUAUUGCACAAUGGGCGCAAGCCUGAUGCAGCGACGCCGCGUGGGGGAUGACGGCCUUCGGGUUGUAAACUCCUUUCAGCCAUGACGAAGCCUUCGGGUGACGGUAGUGGUAGAAGAAGCACCGGCUAACUACGUGCCAGCAGCCGCGGUAAUACGUAGGGUGCGAGCGUUGUCCGGAAUUACUGGGCGUAAAGAGCUCGUAGGUGGUCUGUCGCGUCAUUUGUGAAAGCCCGGGGCUUAACUCCGGGUUGGCAGGUGAUACGGGCAUGACUGGAGUACUGUAGGGGAGACUGGAAUUCCUGGUGUAGCGGUGAAAUGCGCAGAUAUCAGGAGGAACACCGGUGGCGAGGGCGGGUCUCUGGGCAGUAACUGACGCUGAGGAGCGAAAGCAUGGGUAGCGAACAGGAUUAGAUACCCUGGUAGUCCAUGCCGUAAACGGUGGGCGCUAGGUGUGGGUUUCCUUCCACGGGAUCCGUGCUGUAGCUAACGCAUUAAGCGCCCCGCCUGGGGAGUACGGCCGCAGGCUAAAACUCAAAGGAAUUGACGG